ACUCAAAUGAAUUGACGGGGACCCGCACAAGCAGUGGAUUAUGUGGUUUAAUUCGAAGCAACGCGAAGAACCUUACCAGGUCUUGACAUCCAGCGGAUCUUGCAGAGAUGCGAGAGUGCCUUUCGGGGAACGUUGAGACAGGUGGUGCAUGGUUGUCGUCAGCUCGUGUCGUGAGAUGUUGGGUUAAGUCCCGCAACGAGCGCAACCCUUGCCAUUAGUUGCUACGCAAGAGCACUCUAAUGGGACUGCCGUUGACAAAACGGAGGAAGGUGGGGACGACGUCAAAUCAUCAUGCCCCUUAUGACCUGGGCUACACACGUAAUACAAUGGCCGUAAACAGAGGGAAGCAAUGCCGCGAGGCGGAGCAAAACCCUAAAAACGGUCCCAGUUCGGAUCGCAGGCUGCAACCCGCCUGUGUGAAGUUGGAAUUGCUAGUAAUCGCGGAUCAGCAUGCCGCGGUGAAUACGUUCCCGGGUCUUGUACACACCGCCCGU
rnacentral:rRNA from 1 species